rnacentral:rRNA from 1 species
AGCGAACGUUAGCGGCGCGCCUAACACAUGCAAGUCGCACGAGAAAGGGAGCAAUCCCCGGUACAGUGGCGCACGGGUGAGUAACACGUAGAUGACCUUCCCUGGAGUGGUGGAUAAUCUGCCGAAAGGCGGGCUAAUACAGCAUGGGACCACAUGGUUUUGACCGAGUGGUGAAAGCGGGCCUCUGUUCACAAGCUCGCGCUCUGGGAUGGGUCUGCGUCCCAUCAGCUAGUUGGUGAGGUAAUGGCUCACCAAGGCAUCGACGGGUAGCUGGUCUGAGAGGAUGACCAGCCACACUGGAACUGAGACACGGUCCAGACUCCUACGGGAGGCAGCAGUGGGGAAUCUUGCGCAAUGGGCGAAAGCCUGACGCAGCGACGCCGCGUGGGUGAUGAAGGCCUCGGUU